CGCCUGAUUGGUCGGGUAACGGCAGCAAUCAGGGGAAAGCCGCACUGUGGGAUAGCUACGAGGCGCGGUAAGACUGGCGAAGGAAGCGGUCGAUAGCGUAAGGCUUCCGGGU
rnacentral:ncRNA from 1 species